CCCCAAGUGGCUCAAUUGGUAAGGAAUCUGCCUGCAAUGCAGGAGACCCAGGUUCGAGCCCUGGCUAGGGAA
rnacentral:tRNA from 1 species